rnacentral:rRNA from 1 species
AUUGAACGCUGGCGGCAGGCCUAACACAUGCAAGUCGAACGGUAACAGGAAGCAGCUUGCUGCUUUGCUGACGAGUGGCGGACGGGUGAGUAAUGUCUGGGAAACUGCCCGAUGGAGGGGGAUAACUACUGGAAACGGUAGCUAAUACCGCAUAACGUCGCAAGACCAAAGAGGGGGACCUUAGGGCCUCUUGCCAUCGGAUGUGCCCAGAUGGGAUUAGCUAGUAGGUGGGGUAACGGCUCACCUAGGCGACGAUCCCUAGCUGGUCUGAGAGGAUGACCAGCCACACUGGAACUGAGACACGGUCCAGACUCCUACGGGAGGCAGCAGUGGGGAAUAUUGCACAAUGGGCGCAAGCCUGAUGCAGCCAUGCCGCGUGGAUGAAGAAGGCCUUCGGGUUGUAAAGUACUUUCAGCGGGGAGGAAGGGAGUAAAGUUAAUACCUUUGCUCAUUGACGUUACCCGCAGAAGAAGCACCGGCUAACUCCGUG